UGCCAGCAGCCGCGGUAAUACGGAGGGGGUUAGCGUUGUUCGGAAUUACUGGGCGUUUUCCGCACGUAGGCGGAUCAGAAAGUAUAAGGUGAAAUCCCCGGGGCUCAACCCUGGAACUGCCUUUGAAACUGCUGGUCUUGAGUUCGAUAGAGGAGAGUGGAAUUCCGAGUGUAGAGGUGAAAUUCGUAGAUAUUUGGAGGAACAUCAGUGGCGAAGGCGGCUCACUGGCUCAUACUGACCCUUAGGUGCGAAAGUGUGGGGAGCAAACAGGAUUAGAUAUCUUGGUAGUCCACACCGUAAACAAUGUAAGCCA
rnacentral:rRNA from 1 species